GAUGAACGCUGGCGGCGUGCCUAAUACAUGCAAGUCGAGCGAACAGACGAGGAGCUUGCUCCUCUGACGUUAGCGGCGGACGGGUGAGUAACACGUGGAUAACCUAUCUAUAAGACUGGGAUAACUUCGGGAAACCGGAGCUAAUACCGGAUAAUAUAUUGAACCGCAUGGUUCUAUAGUGAAAGACGGUUUUGCUGUCACUUAUAGAUGGAUCCGCGCCGCAUUAGCUAGUUGGUAAGGUAACGGCUUACCAAGGCAACGAUGCGUAGCCGACCUGAGAGGGUGAUCGGCCACACUGGAACUGAGACACGGUCCAGACUCCUACGGGAGGCAGCAGUAGGGAAUCUUCCGCAAUGGGCGAAAGCCUGACGGAGCAACGCCGCGUGAGUGAUGAAGGUCUUCGGAUCGUAAAACUCUGUUAUUAGGGAAGAACAAAUGUGUAAGUAACUAUGCACGUCUUGACGGUACCUAAUCAGAAAGCCACGGCUAACUACGUG
rnacentral:rRNA from 1 species